rnacentral:rRNA from 1 species
GACGAACGCUGGCGGCGUGCUUAACACAUGCAAGUCGAGCGGGAUCCAACCGGUGGCAACACCGGGGAAGAUCUAGCGGCGAACGGGUGAGUAACACGUGAGCAACCUGCCCCGAAGACUGGGAUAACACCGGGAAACCGGUGCUAAUACCGGAUGUCGUCAUUAGGCCGCAUGACCUGAUGAUGAAAGGAUUCAUCGCUUCGGGAGGGGCUCGCGGGCUAUCAGCUGGUUGGUGGGGUAACGGCCUACCAAGGCGACGACGGCUAGCUGGUCUGAGAGGACGACCAGCCACACUGGGACUGAGACACGGCCCAGACUCCUACGGGAGGCAGCAGUGGGGAAUCUUGCGCAAUGGGCGAAAGCCUGACGCAGCAACGCCGCGUGGGGGAUGAAUGCCUUCGGUU